rnacentral:rRNA from 1 species
AGCAGCCGCGGUAAUUCCAGCUCCAAUAGCGUAUAUUAAAGUUGUUGCAGUUAAAAAGCUCGUAGUUGAAUUUCGAGACCGGUUUACUGGUCGUGCUUUUGUACGUACUGGUAUUAUUAGUUUCUCCUUUCUGACGAAUCUUAAUGCCAUUAAUUUGGUGUUUUGGGGAAUCAGGACUGUUACUUUGAAAAAAUUAGAGUGUUUAAAGCAGGCUCACGCUUGAAUACAUUAGCAUGGAAUAACGGAAUAGGACGUUUGAUUCUAUUUUGUUGGUUUCUAGGAUCGACGUAAUGAUUAAUAGGGAUAGUUGGGGGCAUUAGUAUUCAAUUGUCAGAGGUGAAAUUCUUGGAUUUAUUGAAGACUAACUACUGCGAAAGCAUUUGCCAAGGAUGUUUUCAUUAAUCAAGAACGAAAGUUAGGGGAUCAAAGACGAUCAGAUACCGUCGUAGUCUUAACCAUAAACCUAUGCCGACUAGGGAUCGGAUGAUGUUAAUUUUUAAUGACUCAUUCGGCGCCUUAC